UACGAAGGGGGCUAGCGUUGCUCGGAAUCACUGGGCGUAAAGGGUGCGUAGGCGGGUCUUUAAGUCAGGGGUGAAAUCCUGGAGCUCAACUCCAGAACUGCCUUUGAUACUGAAGAUCUUGAGUUCGGGAGAGGUGAGUGGAACUGUGAGUGUAGAGGUGAAAUUCGUAGAUAUUCGCAAGAACACCAGUGGCGAAGGCGGCUCACUGGCCCGAAACUGACGCUGAGGCACGAAAGCGUGGGGAGCAAACAGG
rnacentral:rRNA from 1 species